AUGAGGGCGACCUUCGGGCCUCUCACUNUCGGAUGAACCCAGANCGGAUUAGUUAGUAGGCGGGGUAAUGGCCCACCUAGGCGCCGAUCCCUAGCUGGUCUGAGAGGAUGACCAGCCACACUGGAACUGAGACCCGGUCCAGACUCCUACGGGAGGCAGCAGUGGGGAAUAUUGCACAAUGGGCGCAAGCCUGAUGCAGGCAUGCCGCGUGUAUGAAGAAGGCCUUCGGGUUGUCUUAAAGGGGGCAGCGGGGAGGAAGGCGACGGGGUUAAUAACCCUGUCGAUGACGUACCCGC
rnacentral:rRNA from 1 species